GAUGAACGCUGGCGGCGUGCUUAACACAUGCAAGUCGAACGUGAGAGGUAGCAAUAUCUUGAAAGUGGCGAACGGGUGAGUAACACGUAGGUAACCUGCCUCGGAGUGGGGAUAACAGUUAGAAAUGACUGCUAAUACCGCAUGAAUCCAUGGAUUGGGGACAAUCGGUGGAGAAAACUCUGGUGCUUCGAGAGGGGCCUGCGGCCGAUUAGCUAGUUGGUGGGGUAAAGGCCUACCAAGGCGACGAUCGGUAGCUGGUCUGAGAGGACGAUCAGCCACACGGGAACUGAGACACGGUCCCGACUCCUACGGGGGGCAGCAGUGAGGAAUAUUGGGCAAUGGGCGAAGCCUGACCCAGCAACGCCGCGUGGAGGAAUGAAGGCCUUCGGUU
rnacentral:rRNA from 1 species